rnacentral:rRNA from 1 species
AUUGAACGCUGGCGGCAUGCUUUACACAUGCAAGUCGAACGGUAGAGGGGCAACCCUUGAGAGUGGCGAACGGGCGAGUAAUGCAUCGGAACGUGCCCAGUAGUGGGGGAUAGCCCGGCGAAAGCCGGAUUAAUACCGCAUGAGACCUGAGGGUGAAAGCGGGGGAUCGCAAGACCUCGCGCUAUUGGAGCGGCCGAUGUCAGAUUAGCUAGUUGGUGGGGUAAAGGCCUACCAAGGCGACGAUCUGUAGCUGGUCUGAGAGGACGACCAGCCACACUGGGACUGAGACACGGCCCAGACUCCUACGGGAGGCAGCAGUGGGGAAUUUUGGACAAUGGGCGCAAGCCUGAUCCAGCCACGCCGCGUGUCUGAAGAAGGCCUUCGGGUUGUAAAGGACUUUUGUCAGGGAGGAAAUCCCUAGCGUUAAUACCGCUGGGGGAUGACAGUACCUGAAGAAUAAGCACCGGCUAACUACGUGCCAGCCGCCGCUGUAACAC